rnacentral:rRNA from 1 species
UACGAAGGGUGCAAACGUUGCUCGGAAUCAUUGGGCGUAAAGCGCACGUAGGCGGCUCCGCAAGUCGGAUGUGAAAUCCCUCGGCUCAACCGAGGACGUGCAUCCGAAACUGCGGAGCUUGAGUACUGAAGAGGAUAGUGGAAUUCCCAGUGUAGAGGUGAAAUUCGUAGAUAUUGGGAAGAACACCGGUGGCGAAGGCGGCUAUCUGGCCCGUAAUUGACGCUGAGGCGCGAAAGCGUGGGGAGCAAACAGG